CCUACGGGAGGCAGCAGUGAGGAAUAUUGGUCAAUGGGCGUAAGCCUGAACCAGCCAAGUCGCGUGAGGGAUGAAGGUUCUAUGGAUCGUAAACCUCUUUUAUAAGGGAAUAAAGUGUGGGACGUGUCCUAUUUUGUAUGUACCUUAUGAAUACUGAUCGGCUAACUCCGUGCCUGCAGCCGCGGUAACACGGAGGAUCCGAUCGUUAUCCGGAUGUAUUGGGUUUUAAGGGUGCGUAGGCGGCCUUUUAAGUCAGCGGUGAAAGUCUGUGGCUCAACCAUAGGAUUGCCGUUGAAACUGGGGGGCUUGAGUAUGUUUGAGGCAGGAGAAAUGCGUGGUGUAGCGGUGAAAUGCUUAGAUAUCACGCAGAACCCCGGUUGCGAAGGCAGCCUGCCAAGCCAUGACUGACGCUGAUGCACGAAAGCGUGGGGAGCAAACAGGAUUAGAUACCCCUGUAGUC
rnacentral:rRNA from 1 species